AAAUUGAAGAGUUUGAUCAUGGCUCAGAUUGAACGCUGGCGGCAGGCCUAACACAUGCAAGUCGAGCGGUAGCACAGAGAGCUUGCUCUCGGGUGACGAGCGGCGGACGGGUGAGUAAUGUCUGGGAAACUGCCUGAUGGAGGGGGAUAACUACUGGAAACGGUAGCUAAUACCGCAUAACGUCGCAAGACCAAAGUGGGGGACCUUCGGGCCUCAUGCCAUCAGAUGUGCCCAGAUGGGAUUAGCUGGUAGGUGAGGUAACGGCUCACCUAGGCGACGAUCCCUAGCUGGUCUGAGAGGAUGACCAGCCACACUGGAACUGAGACACGGUCCAGACUCCUACGGGAGGCAGCAGUGGGGAAUAUUGCACAAUGGGCGCAAGCCUGAUGCAGCCAUGCCGCGUGUGUGAAGAAGGCCUUCGGGUUGUAAAGCACUUUCAGCGGGGAGGAAGGCGGUGAGGUUAAUAACCUCAUCGAUUGACGUUACCCGCAGAAGAAGCACCGGCUAACUCCGUGCCAGCAGCCGCGGUAAUACGGAGGGUGCAAGCGUUAAUCGGAAUUACUGGGCGUAAAGCGCACGCAGGCGGUCUGUCAAGUCGGAUGUGAAAUCCCCGGGCUCAACCUGGGAACUGCAUUCGAAACUGGCAGGCUAGAGUCUUGUAGAGGGGGGUAGAAUUCCAGGUGUAGCGGUGAAAUGCGUAGAGAUCUGGAGGAAUACCGGUGGCGAAGGCGGCCCCCUGGACAAAGACUGACGCUCAGGUGCGAAAGCGUGGGGAGCAAACAGGAUUAGAUACCCUGGUAGUCCACGCUGUAAACGAUGUCGAUUUGGAGGUUGUGCCCUUGAGGCGUGGCUUCCGGAGCUAACGCGUUAAAUCGACCGCCUGGGGAGUACGGCCGCAAGGUUAAAACUCAAAUGAAUUGACGGGGGCCCGCACAAGCGGUGGAGCAUGUGGUUUAAUUCGAUGCAACGCGAAGAACCUUACCUGGUCUUGACAUCCACAGAACUUUCCAGAGAUGGAUUGGUGCCUUCGGGAACUGUGAGACAGGUGCUGCAUGGCUGUCGUCAGCUCGUGUUGUGAAAUGUUGGGUUAAGUCCCGCAACGAGCGCAACCCUUAUCCUUUGUUGCCAGCGGUCCGGCCGGGAACUCAAAGGAGACUGCCAGUGAUAAACUGGAGGAAGGUGGGGAUGACGUCAAGUCAUCAUGGCCCUUACGACCAGGGCUACACACGUGCUACAAUGGCAUAUACAAAGAGAAGCGACCUCGCGAGAGCAAGCGGACCUCAUAAAGUAUGUCGUAGUCCGGAUUGGAGUCUGCAACUCGACUCCAUGAAGUCGGAAUCGCUAGUAAUCGUAGAUCAGAAUGCUACGGUGAAUACGUUCCCGGGCCUUGUACACACCGCCCGUCACACCAUGGGAGUGGGUUGCAAAAGAAGUAGGUAGCUUAACCUUCGGGAGGGCGCUUACCACUUUGUGAUUCAUGACUGGGGUGAAGUCGUAACAAGGUAACCGUAGGGGAACCUGCGGUUGGAUCACCUCCUUA
rnacentral:rRNA from 4 species